AUUCAACAUCAGCAGCACAUAUACUGAAAUUGGAACAAUACAGAGAAUAUUAGCCUGACCCCUGCGCAAGGAUGACACGCAAAUUCGUGAAACAUUCCAUAUUUUU
ensembl:snRNA U6 U6 spliceosomal RNA